GUAGUCCAUGCCCUAAACGAUGAAUACUAGUUGUCAGGAUACCUAAUUGUCUUGGUGACGUAGCUAACGCAUUAAGUAUUCCGCCUGGGAAGUACGGUCGCAAGAUUAAAACUCAAAGGAAUUGACGGGGGCCCGCACAAGCGGUGGAGCAUGUGGUUUAAUUCGAUGCUACGCGAAAAACCUUACCUAGGCUUGACAUCCCACGCUACCCGGUGAAAGUCGGGGGUCCUCUUCGGAGGCGUGGAGACAGGUGCUGCAUGGCUGUCGUCAGCUCGUGUUGUGAGAUGUUGGGUUAAG
rnacentral:rRNA from 1 species